GCCGCGGUCGCAUAACCUGGUAGUGCGCUGGUCUUGAAAAUUGAAAAUCCCUGAUUUUCAAACUCGUGAAAUCAGGAAUUUCAAGAGAACCAGUUCCCUCUGGGAUUCUCGGUUCAAAUCCGGGCCGCGGCG
rnacentral:tRNA from 1 species